rnacentral:rRNA from 1 species
AGUCGAGCGAAUGGAUUAAGAGCUUGCUCUUAUGAAGUUAGCGGCGGACGGGUGAGUAACACGUGGGUAACCUGCCCAUAAGACUGGGAUAACUCCGGGAAACCGGGGCUAAUACCGGAUAACAUUUUGAACCGCAUGGUUCGAAAUUGAAAGGCGGCUUCGGCUGUCACUUAUGGAUGGACCCGCGUCGCAUUAGCUAGUUGGUGAGGUAACGGCUCACCAAGGCAACGAUGCGUAGCCGACCUGAGAGGGUGAUCGGCCACACUGGGACUGAGACACGGCCCAGACUCCUACGGGAGGCAGCAGUAGGGAAUCUUCCGCAAUGGACGAAAGUCUGACGGAGCAACGCCGCGUGAGUGAUGAAGGCUUUCGGGUCGUAAAACUCUGUUGUUAGGGAAGAACAAGUGCUAGUUGAAUAAGCUGGCACCUUGACGGUACCUAACCAGAAAGCCACGGCUAACUACGUGCCAGCAGCCGCGGUAAUACGUAGGUGGCAAGCGUUAUCCGGAAUUAUUGGGCGUAAAGCGCGCGCAGGUGGUUUCUUAAGUCUGAUGUGAAAGCCCACGGCUCAACCGU